rnacentral:rRNA from 1 species
ACGGAAGGCAGCAGUGAGGAAUAUUGGUCAAUGGAGGCAACUCUGAACCAGCCAUCUCGCGUGAAGGAAUACGGCCCUACGGGUCUUAAACUUCUUUUAUAGGGGGAUAAAGUGAGCCACGUGUGGCUUUUUGUAGGUACCCUAUGAAUAAGCAUCGGCUAACUCCGUGCCAGCAGCCGCGGUAAUACGGAGGAUGCGAGCGUUAUCCGGAUUUAUUGGGUUUAAAGGGUGCGUAGGCGGGAUGUUAAGUCAGCGGUGAAAGUUUGCGGCUCAACCGUAAAAUUGCCGUUGAAACUGGCGUUCUUGAGUGUAAACGAGGUAGGCGGAAUGUAACGUGUAGCGGUGAAAUGCUUAGAUAUGUUACAGAACCCCGAUUGCGAAGGCAGCUUACCAGCAUACAACUGACGCUGAGGCACGAAAGCGUGGGUAUCAAACAGGAUUAGAUACCCUGGUA